rnacentral:rRNA from 1 species
AUUGAACGCUGGCGGCAUGCCUUACACAUGCAAGUCGAACGGCAGCACGGGGCAACCUGGUGGCGAGUGGCGAACGGGUGAGUAAUGCAUCGGAACGUGCCAUUGAGUGGGGGAUAACGUAGCGAAAGUUGCGCUAAUACCGCAUAUUCUGUGAGCAGGAAAGCAGGGGACCGCAAGGCCUUGCGCUCUUUGAGCGGCCGAUGUCAGAUUAGCUAGUUGGUGAGGUAACGGCUUACCAAGGCGACGAUCUGUAGCGGGUCUGAGAGGAUGAUCCGCCACACUGGAACUGAGACACGGUCCAGACUCCUACGGAGGCAGCAGUGGGGAAUUUUGGACAAUGGGCGCAAGCCUGAUCCAGCCAUGCCGCGUGAGUGAAGAAGGCCUCGGUGUAAGA